rnacentral:antisense_RNA from 2 species
CUUCACCGAGCCCAGCCACAACGGUUCGGCGCGCCGCUGCCCGUAGGUCGCGAGCAGCGCCUGCGCCUC